rnacentral:rRNA from 1 species
GAUGAACGCUGGCGGCGUGCCUAAUACAUGCAAGUCGAGCGAACGGACGAGAAGCUUGCUUUUCUGAUGUUAGCGGUGGACGGGUGAGUAACACGUGGAUAACCUACCUAUAGGACUGGGAUAACUUCGGGAAACCGGAGCUAAUACCGGAUAAUAUUUUGAACCGCAUGGUUCAAAGGUGAAAGACGGUCUUGCUGUCACUUAUAGAUGGACCCGCGCUGCAUUAGCUAGUUGGUAAGGUAACGGCUUACCAAGGCAACGAUGCAUAGCCGACCUGAGAGGGUGAUCGGCCACACUGGAACUGAGACACGGUCCAGACUCCUACGGGAGGCAGCAGUAGGGAAUCUUCCGCAAUGGGCGAAAGCCUGACGGAGCAACGCCGCGUGAGUGAUGAAGGUCUUCGGAUCGUAAAACUCUGUUAUUAGGGAAGAACAUAUGUGUAAGUAACUGUGCACAUCUUGACGGUACCUAAUCAGAAAGCCACGGCUAACUACGUG